UGAGGAAUAUUGCACAAUGGGCGCAAGCCUGAUGCAGCAACGCCGCGUGCGGGACGAAGGCCUUCGGGUCGUAAACCGCUUUUCUGGGGGAAGAGCAAGGACGGUACCUCAGGAAUAAGUCUCGGCUAACUACGUGCCAGCAGCCGCGGUAAAACGUAGGAGGCGAGCGUUAUCCGGAUUUACUGGGCGUAAAGCGCACGCAGGCGGCUCUGUUAGUCGGACGUGAAAGCUCUCGGCUUAACCGGGAGAGGCCGUUCGAUACUGCGGGGCUUGAGGCAGGGAGAGGAAUGCGGAGUUCCCGGUGUAGUGGUGGAAUGCGUAGAUAUCGGGAGGAACACCUGUGGCGAAAGCGGCAUUCUGGCCCUCACCUGACGCUGAGGUGCGAAAGCGUGGGUAGCAAACA
rnacentral:rRNA from 1 species